CCAGAUUUCUUCCAAAUCGAGAGAUGAUAUUCACGCGAUUCGUCAUCUCUCUCCAGCUCCAUAAUUUUCAUCUGAUUUCAAAUUGCAUACGACAUCGAAAUUGAUUCGAUUAUCAGAUUUGAAUUGGAUGUUUUUCCAGAAGUCCACCAUAUGGUCAAUUGCAGGUUCGGGAAGCAGUUCUGCAAGCUGAUUGGGGUUCAUGAAGGAGAAGGUUAUGAAGUUGAUAACGAAACCAUUGCAUCAGUGUGGAAAAUACAGAGAAAUGUGUCCCCAUGACUCUAUAAAUUUUGGCAGACAAAAGGAACAAGAGAGCACUUAGUUCGUUUUGAAGUGCUUGAAGAUUGUAAUUGAACUCAAUGAAUUUAAUCUGCUCCGAUUUGUAGCAAUUUACUUCGGAUUCUCCCCUUUGAUUUCUAUGAAUCUCGUUUUACUCCAUGUUGUAGACGUUUGAUUUUCUGUGUUCGACGAUUAUCGUUGAAAA